rnacentral:rRNA from 1 species
CAGCAGCCACGGUAAUACGAAGGGGGCUAGCGUUGUUCGGAAUUACUGGGCGUAAAGCGCACGUAGGCGGAUACUUAAGUCAGGGGUGAAAUCCCGGGGCUCAACCCCGGAACUGCCUUCGAUACUGGGUAUCUCGAGUCCGGAAGAGGUGAGUGGAAUUCCGAGUGUAGAGGUGAAAUUCGUAGAUAUUCGGAGGAACACCAGUGGCGAAGGCGGCUCACUGGUCCGGUACUGACGCUGAGGUGCGAAAGCGUGGGGAGCAAACAGGAUUAGAUACCCCCGUAGUCCCUGUCUCUUAUAC